rnacentral:rRNA from 1 species
GAUGAACGCUGGCGGCGUGCCUAAUACAUGCAAGUCGAGCGAACAGACGAGGAGCUUGCUCCUCUGACGUUAGCGGCGGACGGGUGAGUAACACGUGGAUAACCUACCUAUAAGACUGGGAUAACUUCGGGAAACCGGAGCUAAUACCGGAUAAUAUAUUGAACCGCAUGGUUCAAUAGUGAAAGACGGUUUUGCUGUCACUUAUAGAUGGAUCCGCGCCGCAUUAGCUAGUUGGUAAGGUAACGGCUUACCAAGGCGACGAUGCGUAGCCGACCUGAGAGGGUGAUCGGCCACACUGGACCUGAGACACGGUCCAGACUCCUACGGGAGGCAGCAGUAGGGAAUCUUCCGCAAUGGGCGAAAGCCUGACGGAGCAACGCCGCGUGAGUGAUGAAGGUCUUCGGAUCGUAAAACUCUGUUAUUAGGGAAGAACAAAUGUGUAAGUAACUAUGCACGUCUUGACGGUACCUAAUCAGAAAGCCACGGCUAACUACGUG